rnacentral:rRNA from 1 species
AGAGUUUGAUCCUGGCUCAGAUUGAACGCUGGCGGCAUGCCUUACACAUGCAAGUCGAACGGUAACAGGUCUUCGGACGCUGACGAGUGGCGAACGGGUGAGUAAUACAUCGGAACGUGCCCAGUCGUGGGGGAUAACUACUCGAAAGAGUAGCUAAUACCGCAUACGAUCUGAGGAUGAAAGCGGGGGACCUUCGGGCCUCGCGCGAUUGGAGCGGCCGAUGGCAGAUUAGGUAGUUGGUGGGAUAAAAGCUUACCAAGCCGACGAUCUGUAGCUGGUCUGAGAGGACGACCAGCCACACUGGGACUGAGACACGGCCCAGACUCCUACGGGAGGCAGCAGUGGGGAAUUUUGGACAAUGGGCGAAAGCCUGAUCCAGCAAUGCCGCGUGCAGGAUGAAGGCCUUCGGGUUGUAAACUGCUUUUGUACGGAACGAAAAAGCUCCUUCUAAUUCUUU